AGAGGCGGGCCUGUAUCGUCUGCUCUGUCCGUUAAUGGUGUACGUGAUAUAAACGACCUUGAACUGCACUCCAUGAGUGACAUCAAUGGAGGUUGGAUCAUAUUCAACCUGGAAAAGUAGUUUGUUCGCCAUGAACGUUUUUCGCUAAUAUUGGAGUUACACUUUGACAAAACUUCUGAAUAUUCCUGUGCCUUGAAAAUUUUAAAACAUUACGUUUGAGACUUGGCCAUAGGUCGUGGAGAACAAUUUUCUUGAGGUAAAUAUUAUCUACGUUGCCCUUAGAUGGAUGGUGCAUGUAUUUGCGAUUUUAACAACGAUUUUUUCGGAUAAAUAUUUCGAACAGUUCUACCUCACCUUUUGUAUAACAGUGGUGUUGACAGCAGCUGAAUAUAUAUCUCUCAUGUGGUUGAUUUCAGUGAGGACGGCAUUGUGACGAGUCAUGAAGUCGGACCCACACACUAUUUAAUGUAUUACAAUUAACAAGCAAUAAAUGUUUUACAGAC
rnacentral:sRNA from 1 species